CUUCAGGAGUGAAGCUGCAGACCUUCGCGUGAUGGAGGUUGAGAAGUCCAACUUCAAGGCACCACAUCUGGUGAGAGCCUUCAUUCCGAUGACAGCCUUCAUGCUGGUAAGAUUUUCUUCAGAGUUCCAAGGUGGUGCACGGCAUCACAUGGCGAAGGAAAUGAGCGUGCUAGCUCAGGUGUCUCUUCCUCUUCUUAUAAAGCCACCAGUCCCACUCCUGUGCUAGUAACUCUUUAAUCCAUCAACCCAUUAAUCCAUGAAUAGAUUAACCCAUGAGGCCUCUGCCCUCAGGACCCAAUCACCUCUUAAAGGCCUGACCUGUCAAUAUUGCCAUACUGGGGACUCAGUUUCAACAUGAGUUUUGAAAGGGACAAACAUUCAAUCCAUAGUAACAUGAGAGCUUUUCAAAGCCCUUCUUUGUUGAAGUAUGUCCUUCUCCAGCCUCUUUUUUCCCAGGCUUUUUGUUUUUUCUAUUGCUUGUGCAGCUGUUAUCCUUUGCUACAGGUGGCAAUAGCUAAUACAUUUGCCUUUAAAUUUGUUUGACAAACACCACCCUGGAAGUAGCCUCAACUCUGGGGAAGCUCCAAGACAGGUAAAAUACAGCAACCUGCAGCAGGAAAAUGGGCUUCAGUUUUCAAGUCUGCAGCUGAGUUGGGAAGUUGCGGACAGUAACCAGAGGAAAGGCCACAUGGGGACAAGAGAGGGCAACUGUCUACAAAUCUGGAAGAGAGACUUCAGAAGAAACCAGCACUGAUGGCAUCUGAUCUUGGACUUCCAGCCUCUGGAUCUAUCUGCCAGAGCCUGAUCUCAUACACACUGAUGUGGUACAGGAAAUGCCACCUGAAAAUAUGGUACCUUGGCAUUUGAGGAAACAGUAGAAGGAGGUCAUAGAAACUAGAAAGAAUUCCUCCUUGCUCUUUGUCCCCCAAAGGAGCCAUAAAACCUGGGCCGAGUUUCUUCUGAAAAUAAGUUAUAAGAUCCUUAUUCCAGAGGGGUCCUGCCCUGUGCCUGGAGGAAAAGAAUGAAGACACAGAGAUGCCUUGAAGAAUCUGAACAAACAGCCCUUGCUAAGUUCCCCCCAGUUUAUUGACAUUAGAUUAGACCUUUUGUCCUCCAAUUAUACUUCUGUGUUCCUGAAAAUACACAUUUUCCCGUUUUUUCUUUUGUUUGCUUUUUUUGAUCUUCAUUUCUGAAGAUUCCCAUGUCAUGUAAAAUAUAUGUUAAACAAAUGUG
rnacentral:lncRNA from 1 species